rnacentral:misc_RNA from 1 species
UUAGCUUAUUGGGUAAUUGAACUUUAUUUAUGUUGAGUAUGCACAUUAUUUAUUACUGAACUAUAUACCAUUGACACAAACGAAGAAAACUAAAUAAUCAGAGCAAAAUAUACAAUAUACGAGCUUCAUUGACAUUAGGAGUUUGAGGUUUAGCAAAUUAAAGAUGAUAAUUUUUUAGUGGACAGAACCUUUGAUUAUAUCCUAUUACGUAUGAGGCUAGGACGUGGAAAUUGCUGCUGGGAGUUAAGUUACUGAGAAAUAGGUUAGAAUGA